AUUGAACGCUGGCGGCAGGCCUAACACAUGCAAGUCGAGCGGAUGAAGGGAGCUUGCUCCUGGAUUCAGCGGCGGACGGGUGAGUAAUGCCUAGGAAUCUGCCUGGUAGUGGGGGAUAACGUCCGGAAACGGGCGCUAAUACCGCAUACGUCCUGAGGGAGAAAGUGGGGGAUCUUCGGACCUCACGCUAUCAGAUGAGCCUAGGUCGGAUUAGCUAGUUGGUGGGGUAAAGGCCUACCAAGGCGACGAUCCGUAACUGGUCUGAGAGGAUGAUCAGUCAAACUGGAACUGGGACACGGUCCCGACUCCUAAGGGAAGCAGCAGUGGGGAAUAUUGGACAAUGGGCGAAAGCCUGAUCCAGCCAUGCCGCGUGUGUGAAGAAGGUCUUCGGAUUGUAAAGCACUUUAAGUUGGGAGGAAGGGCAGUAAGUUAAUACCUUGCUGUUUUGACGUUACCAACAGAAUAAGCACCGGCUAACUUCGUG
rnacentral:rRNA from 1 species